UUUUUAUACUAUUAGGACAUUAAGUGAAU
rnacentral:piRNA from 1 species